AUUGAACGCUGGCGGCAGGCUUAACACAUGCAAGUCGAGCGAGCGGCGGACGGGUGAGUAAUGUCUGGGAAACUGCCUGAUGGAGGGGGAUAACUACUGGAAACGGUCGCUAAUACCGCAAAACAUCAGAUGUUCCCAGAUGGGAUUAGCUAGGAGGUGGGGUAAUGGCUCCCUUAGGCGACGCUCCCUAGCGGGUCUGAGAGGAUGACCAGCCACACUGGAACUGAGACACGUUCCAGACUCCUACGGGAGGCAGCAGUGGGGAAUAUUGCACAAUGGGCGCAAGCCUGAUGCAGCCAUGCCGCGUGUGUGAAGAAGGCCUGCGGGUUGUAAAGCACUUUCAGCGGGGAGGCGUUACUCGCAGAAGAAGCACCGGCUAACUCCGUGCCAGCAGCCGCGGUAAUUC
rnacentral:rRNA from 1 species